rnacentral:rRNA from 1 species
UACGAAGGGUGCAAGCGUUAAUCGGAAUUACUGGGCGUAAAGCGCACGUAGGCGGAUAUUUAAGUCAGGGGUGAAAUCCCAGAGCUCAACUCUGGAACUGCCUUUGAUACUGGGUAUCUCGAGUAUGGAAGAGGUGAGUGGAAUUCCGAGUGUAGAGGUGAAAUUCGUAGAUAUUCGGAGGAACACCAGUGGCGAAGGCGGCUCACUGGUCCAUUACUGACGCUGAGGUGCGAAAGCGUGGGGAGCAAACAGG